GACAGAGGGUGCAAACGUUGUUCGGAUUUACUGGGCGUAAAGCGCGUGUAGGCGGCUUGGCAAGUUAGAGGUGAAAGCCCGGGGCUCAACUCCGGAACUGCCUUUAAGACUGCAUCGCUAGAAUUGUGGAGAGGUAAGUGGAAUUCCGAGUGUAGAGGUGAAAUUCGUAGAUAUUCGGAAGAACACCAGUGGCGAAGGCGACUUACUGGACACAUAUUGACGCUGAGGUGCGAAAGCGUGGGGAGCAAACAGG
rnacentral:rRNA from 1 species